rnacentral:rRNA from 1 species
ACGGAGGGUGCAAGCGUUAAUCGGAAUUACUGGGCGUAAAGGGUUCGUAGGUUGUUUAUUAAGUUAUCUGUGAAAUCCCCGGGCUUAACCUGGGCAGGUCAGAUAAAACUGGUAGACUCGAGUAUGGGAGAGGGUAGUGGAAUUUCCGGUGUAGCGGUGAAAUGCGUAGAGAUCGGAAGGAACACCAGUGGCGAAGGCGGCUACCUGGCCCAAUACUGACACUGAGGAACGAAAGCGUGGGGAGCAAACAGG